rnacentral:lncRNA from 1 species
AAAAGAAGAAAGAGUUGUAAGAUAAUGGUUAGUCUUCACCCGUUGAAAGAAGACUGUUAGUGGAUACUAAUUACCUCAACGAAGAAGAAAUCGAAAGUAAAUAUAUGUCACGACAACCGAAUCACUAUAAAUCCGAUAUGAUUUCUUUCUAUAUCAUUUAUUUUAUGCUUUUCAUUCUCAUCGCCCACUAAAUUACUUGCUCGCUGCCCUCAAUCACUUACAUUUACAACUUUAUACGGUAAAGUCUCCUACCUCAUCUUCUUAUUGUAAAUAGCAAUGAAAGCACAUGCCAAGCGUCCGACUGAGCCUGAACUAAAAUUACCUUUUUUGUAAUUAUUUAAUUAAAAUUAAUAUAUAUAUAUAUAUAUAUAUAUAUAUAUAUAUAUACAUAUAUAUAUAUAUAUAUAUAUAUAUAUAUAUAUAUAUACAUAUAUAUAUAUAUAUAUAUAUAUAUAUAUAUAUAUAUACAUAUAUAUAUAUAUAUAUAUUUAUUUAUUUAUUUAUUUAUAAUUGUGAACCAUCGGUGCAGUUCGAGCUAGAACCAAACCCAGAUCUAAUUGGGAUUUGAUUAGGAACAUCCGUUCGGAUUCGAUUUAGAACCCACCAAAGUGUUGCGCCGGUGAAACCUAUAUUAAUUGUCAUCGGCAUGGAAACAUUGCCCAUGACGCAUCGGCAUGGAAACCUUGUAUUAAAGGCAACGAAUGUAUAAAACGAGAUGUAGCUACUAAAAUCUGUGGCAUGGAAUCUGAAAGAAUUCCUCACUGUUACCCACAGCUUCACAUACCAUACACAAGAUUCACAUAAGAGACAAAUAAAAUGGACUAAUAGAGGUACAAUGUGCUAUACAUAAGAGAUUCCUCGAGUACAAAGACAUUUCCAGUGAAUCCACCUGUUGGGAUAGCCUCUAGAGGAACAUUUGAUAGCCUCUAUAACCUGUGACAUGCGAUACAUCAACACAGUCUCCCUAACCACAAUCCUAAAAGAGUUCUUCCGCGAAUUGCUCUAGGGAAAUAUUAAUCAAACUGAACGGGCUUCUUACAAACCUUGAAGAAAUUGGACUCCAAUAAGAUUCAUAAUUUCUUUGUGUCUAUAUCUCUUCUGUAACUUGAGUAAAUCUGCCCUUCCCAAUCAUGUCACAUCAAACGGUUAGACUUUGCAAACACCAAUGUGAUUGAUAUGCAGAGAUCCUGAAUAUAUUCAUCUAUAAUCUUUUCCCAAUGUUUGCAAACCUUCUCGCAACUCCAAAAAUAACAGCCUUGGUCAACAGGCCAUGGUCAAGAGUGCAUGCAAUGGCUACAGCACCACCAACUACCAGGAACUUGGGUAUGCUACUGGUCCAGUUCUUCUGUUUCUCUGCUUCUACAACAUUGCCCGAUAAAUCAGUGAUGGUCUCAAAUGAUCUCAACUUGUCGGCAUCAAAUUUGGUGUUAAUUUGUGCCAUGAAAGCAAACCGAGACAAUGGCUCAUUGGACCUCCUGGCAAGUUGGUAAGCACACAGGCCAGGUUCGAUCUUUCGAACACAACUCCACAUCCCCUGCCGAACUCCCAGCUUUGCAAUUUCCCAUGGGAUGCCCAUAUCCUCGUGGUGAAACAGAAGAACUUCGCAGGCAGUCAUCCGGCCAUCUCUUCUGGAUUCAGCUGGAUAUGCAAAAGCAUGAAGACAUCCAUUGGUUGUUUGAAGGGUAAAAGAAACUUGUAAGACAACAAUUUGUUAUCUACUUGUUGUAGGAGAAAAAAAAGAAGGAAAUAAAAAAAGUAUAGCUCUGCACCUGCACGAAUGCACCAGCUGGAAUAAUACAAGUCAACCCGUCUUGGUUUGUUUCGCCUAGGCACAGCAGGGCGUGGCACUCCCUGAAAGAUGUAAGAGAUGACCAAAUUUAAAUGUCACUCUUUCACCUUAAAAGGAAAUGUAUGUUCCCAUUUCAGUGGGCAUAAGCACAGAUUUGUAAAAGCUCAAUUUUUAUUAGCAAAGCCCACAUCACACUGGUACUCACUCAAAAUGCAGAAAAUGAACAAGCAUGAUCCAGCAAUUGUAAAAUCACAAAUACAUAUCUAAAUACCCUGAAGGUGUUGAAGAAAGCAGUAGAUCAAUCUGCAAAUAACAAAGGCUGUACCAGGAAAGAUGGAUAAUAGCUUGUAAGCAUAAUUCCAAAAACUUAAUGACUAAAUAUUCUCCUAAAACAGAAACCUUCUUCUUUCUUGGAUAAAGCACAAGCAAGUUCUGUGCUAGUAAUUCAACUCAGGCGAUAAAGUAGGUGCUUCACUUCCUUCACUUCCCUCCACUUGCCUACUUUAAUGACUAAAUAUUCAGCACCUACUUCACUUUCCUCUGUCAAAUUCUGUUGCUUGCCCAAUAAAGUAGGCAAUAAAGCACAAACAAGCUCCAUUCAGUUUUGUCCAAUAAAGCAUGGAUAUUAAUCAUCGAAAUACCCAUAAGUAGAUACGUUUGAUCUUCAAAAACAAAGGGGGCAAGAUACAACCUAACAACCGUUAAAAGACAAUAAUAAUAUCACAAGCCACAGAUCUUGACACUUAAAAGAGAGCUAGUUAUCGAUUGUAGUACAGAAACAAAAAACCUAACAAGCAUUGUUAACCUUUUCAUCGGAAUAAAAGUUACUCCUGCAAGUAAAAUGAUCCAAAUUUAUAAGAGUUAAGAUGCAAUAAAACCUAUCCAUCUGUAUAUUUAUUAAAGCUGAUCUAUGCUCAAUACAGUCUCAAUCAUAUUAUACAUUUAAAAUCACAAUGCUUUGGUGCUUUCAGAAAAAAUAUAAUUUUAAUAUCCAUUUUGAUUUAGUGGUUAAGAACCAAUUAUUGAUUGGUGGAUUAUCUGCAGUGCUUAGUCACUAGCACUGUGAUGACCUCUAGUACCAGUCCCUUAAACUAAGAUGACCCACAGCAUGAUUCACUUCCACUUUUCUGUACUUGAAAUUUUACUUUGGCACACCAACACCAUUGGCCCAUUUUCCUUCUCCCUCUUACAGUUACAUGUUUUUCUUUUCCUUGUUUGAAACAAGGAUUCCUCUUGUUCUCAUCGAUGGGGCUUAUAGUACUAGAUGUGGCUUUCAUGAAGUUGAUUAUAGCAAAACUCACCCUGCACAACAUGGAUCGUGUGCUUCUCUCUUCUCAAUUCUACCCGGAUUCAAGUCGGACGUAAAGAGCCAUUGCAAAGACCUUGUUUCACUUAAAGAAAGGUUUUUGUCAUUUCACAAGAAGAAGAAAGAGUUGAGAUUAUAAGUAACAAUGAGCAUACAACACAUCAAUCUUAGGUUUUUUUUUAACUCUCUAUAAAAGAUGUCACUAUCUUACACAUUGAAGUGUGACCCAAUCAUAUGCCAUCCUUCCAUCAACGACAUUCAGAAAAAUAAAAUCCUCACAAGAAGUUUCCACAAAGUACUUCUGUAGUGUCCCUAAACAAAUUGAUUUUUCAAUAAUUUUCCAAAAAAUUAGAUACCUUAAUGAAGUAGCCAUUAUAUAUACUCAUGUUUACUGGAUUUUUCUAAUUAAAGUUUCUUAAGGGGGGUUCUCUUUUCUUUUUUUUUUCUUCCCGUAGGUCUAUAAGUUGUCACACCAUUCUGAUUCAUCAAUUGAAACAAUUGCAUCGUGUGUUUUCACAUCCUUGUUGAAGUACCAGGUAGUCCAUUUUAUGAUUCAAAAUCGAUUACGUGCAAAAAGCAAAGGCAUUCAAAGAUGAUGAGAUGCAUUCCCAUGACAAAGAACUCUCAUAUGCAUACUUGUCAAAGUACCAUGUAAGUUCAUUUCAUGCUUCAAAAAUUAGUAAUUGCAAGAAGCAAUUCCAUCUGGAGAUGAUAACAUUCAUCCGGAACAAAGAACUAUUAUGUGCAUCCAUACCUUUGUUAUGCAGUAGUAAGUUCUUCCUGACUCCCAUAUGCGGCGACCAAUAAUAUACUCCCUGUUACUACAAAAGAAAGGAAACUGCGGACAAGAAGAAAAACAAUAAACAGACAUGGCAAGCAGUAAAAGCAGUUCUUACAACUGUAAGAGAAUCCAUCGGUUCUCAUACCUUGCGAACCCAUUGAACUACCAUCGUCCCUGUUGUCGGGCACUCCUCCAGUGUGGUAUGCUCGAGGAGCAUAUCAUCCCAGCCAUUCUUGAUCCGGAACUCAUCGUCCCAGAAGAAGUCCCGCACGAUUUCGGGCGUCACAUCCUCAUAUAAGGUGCUGCUGCGGUACUGCGGUGGACCAGUCUGGCAUGAACGCGACGAAUUAUGGCUCAGUUGCGCGUUAUCACAAACCACUAAGCAACAAUUUCAUGAGUCGAUCACAUACGCAACUCAAAUACAUGUAUGGUUCUAAAUCCUACCUCGGGAUCUCUCCGCCAUGCUUGAUAUCUCAUGUUAGGCAACGACUUGUCCAUCAUCUUGUGCCACUCCGGCCCCCCAUCCGUCACCUCCACCAGCCGGAACAGGUGCUGCAAGUCCUCCUCGGUCACCGCCAGCUUCUCACUCCUCCUGCAAAUCCCAUAAACCGACUUGACCCGCGAACAAGGGAGAGGAUUCACAGCACAACUACAAGUCAACGUGAAGACCCAAUCUACCUUUCUUCGACCGCCUUCAUUGACGGCGCCGCCGAAUGGGGGCCAAGCGAAGGCGCAGACUCGGUCUUCACCGCGCCGCUCAGCCCGGCAGCCCACCCGGGCCGCCACGCCCACCCUAGCAGAAGCCCGGCGAAGACGGCGAUCCAGAGGGGGGCCACAAAGGCCGCGAGCUCCACGGCAACAUCUGCGACCGUGGGCCUCCGCAGGAUCUCAACCAGGGCUUCCAGAAUCAGCACCAUGGCGCAGCAAAGGAGAAUCGGAUUCGGAUAGGGAUAGGGAUUAGAGCGGAAGAAGAGGAGACGGAGAGGGAGAGCGAGACGGAGUGGUGGAGGAGAGCGAGAUUAGGGGAUGAGGAGAGAAGGCGUCUCGAUUGGGAUUAGCCCCGCGACUCACCACCACCGCGUGUUUUCUUAGCAGGGAGGAUGGAUAACAAAUAUGAGGCGAGUCGUCUUGACGAUUCGCUAGUAAACGCGGAUCCCAAAUGGGUCGGUGAAAGACCAAAUCGACCGCUUCGAUAAUAUUGCGUUGCUAGUUUGGACUGCCUACCCACGUUUGCCUCCUCAGAAAAGGAUUAAUAGGACGGAGUAGAGUAGUCAAAGAUUUUGACCGUGACCGAUUUGGCAUCCCUCCCUACUCCAUGUUACCUGUUUAUUAUUUUCAUUAACAUCUUAGACUAUGUCGGAUAUCAAAAAUAAAAUAUUCAAGUGUCAUACUUUGAGAGCUUAAUUUUCAAAUUAACUAUCCACGAUCGAAAUAGAGACUUGAAUACUCAUUCGAAGAUUAAGAUGAACUUAAGUAACGUAUUACACGAUCGAUCAAGACUAAGAUGAGUAGGAUUUUCGUGUAAUCUUUUGAAAAAUAGAGAUUAAGAAAGGUUUAAAAAAUAGAGAUUUUUAUUUUUUUAUAUAAAUUAUACAUUAAUCAUCAUACCUAAAGAUGAUUAUUUAAUUAUGUUCAAAAUAUACUAACCACCGUAAUAUUUCCUUGGAUGAUAAUAUUUGAAUAUAAUGACGAAAAAGUAAGCGGUGACCACAAAUAAUAACCGUACCGACAUUGGACUAAAUAUUUUUACUAUCGCACACUGCCUAUAUUGCAUCACAACAAUUGGACAGCCCACUCUGCACAUAUAUUACAAUAGUAUAUAAUUGGGGACAAAUUUAUUGAGCGUGCCAAACGUGACCACUCUUCACAUAAAUAAAUCUAGUCCGUGACCUUUGUUUGAAGUAGUACCAUUCUGUCUAAUAUCUUAUCAUAUCAUAUCAUAUCAUAUAUUUAUAUAUAUAUAUAGAGGAAACAAGAGCUUGUAAAUUAUGUACGACUUGGGGGAUUGCACCUAACGAUGUCAAAAGAUAUGCUUUUCUAUGAGGACGAGUUACGAGUCGUUCUUUCUCCGAAGGAGGGUCGCAUUUGCACUUUUUUUUGCGUGUGGACUUGUUCGAGGUCAAGAGUUAGGAACUUGGCUUAACUUUUUGACUUCAUCGAAUCGUGGCUACUUGCAUUGAUUGAAGCGAAAAAGGGAUUUGGAUGACUCGAUCAAGCUUGUUAACGAGUAAAUCAGAAUUUGUUUGUUUGAAUAUAUGGGAUUAUAAUUUAAAGGCAAUCGAGAUUUCAUCUUGAGUUAGUCUAUAAGUUAGAUUUUUCUACACUUGUCCAUUUUUUAUGGUUUUCAAACUUAUAAAAUUCUGUCGAGAGAGUAUUUCGAUAAUAUCCCUCCAAUGUUUAAGUUAAUUAAGAUUGUAAAAUUUAGUUUAUGCUUUGAAUUGUAUUCUAAAAAGUGUUCAACAGCAUACUUGACUAGCCUCUUUAUAGUGAACUUUUAGUAUUGUUACUCUCAUGAUUAAUGUCGAUUUUGGGAAGCUAUUGCUGAGAAACUUGAUCAUGACUUUGUCGCAUCGAAUCCGAGAUGCAAUAAUGUUUAACCAAUUCAAUCUCAUCGGUCAUAUAUCAAAUAUAUGACACUAAGAUAUCCAUCACGUGGUGUUAAGGUGUCGACCAUAUGUCAUCUACGUUCUAAUCAUACGAAUCAUUAGCUUUUGAAUCACUAUUGGUGAAUCAUUCUCUUUGUACGAAACCUAAAACACAUUUCAAUGACAUGCACAGUUGAAUGAUUUAAAAUAUAUUUUGAUGACACACAUAAUCAGAUCAAUCUAACGUUCAUUUUGAUGAUUGUGUCGCCCAAUCAUCCUAAAGUUUAUUUUGAUAAUAGAUAUAGCUUAAUCAGCCUAAAACGAAUCUCAAUGGCAUACACGAUCAUAUCAAUGUAAAGUACAAAUCGACGUAGAGUAUAUUUUGACGACAUGCAUAGCCAAGAUGGUCAAACGCACUAAAUAACUUAUGAUUCGAUUUAGUAUCGAUUGUUUAACAAGAGUCACUUCCUGACUUGACCUCAUCAAACUCUACCAUGUGAUAAGAAUGUGACGAUACCUUAACACCACAUUGUCAACAACUUAGCAUCAUAUAACUGACACCUUGGUACCAUGUGAUUAGUAUCUCAUUACCACGUGAUGAGUAUGUGGUUGACAUCUCGGCAUAAAACUAAAUUAGUUAGAUCUCACUAUAUUCUGGAUUCGAUAUGACCUAAUCAUUGACGUUAAUCAAAAGAGUAAUGAUAUUAAGAGCCCACUGUAAAAAGCUCACAAUACAGCUCAAAGCAUAGGACCAACCUUUCGACCCCACAGCUUAGGCAUCGUCGAAGAUGACGAUAACACUGGUUUAUAGGUUAAUAUUGGAAUCAUCAGAGUGUGGUGAUAGCUGAAACAAAUCUAAAUUAAGUUGUGACUGCACAACUUAAAUCUCGAUCGGCUCCAAAUCAUCAUUAGCUUGGUCAAUUAAGUUGUGACUGCACACCUACAACUUGAUUUCCAUUGGUUAACGAGUUUAUAGUCGAUCGAUAACUGCAUGUCACGUUUGGAACUUUAGUCAUUAUUUUCUCAGCAUUAGAUUCCUCCUUGAGGCGUGUAAUAUAUUAUUUAGAAUAACGUAUGUUAGUAUGACGGAGUAUCGGAAACACAGGCUAGAAUUUGUGUUGGGACAAUGUGUUUGUGAGAAUGCAUGACAACAAUUUCAUACGGUAAGCUCUGCUUUAUAUAGCUUUCUUUUUUUGAUCGCAUGACUUGGCUCGAAUAGAGUCACAGUACAGCUUUGUCUGUUUGCUCCAUGACAUGUUCCGAGUGGAACCACAAAAUGGUACNNNNNNNNNNNNNNNNNNNNNNNNNNNNNNNNNNNNNNNNNNNNNNNNNNNNNNNNNNNNNNNNNNNNNNNNNNNNNNNNNNNNNNNNNNNNNNNNNNNNNNNNNNNNNNNNNNNNNNNNNNNNNNNNNNNNNNNNNNNNNNNNNNNNNNNNNNNNNNNNNNNNNNNNNNNNNNNNNNNNNNNNNNNNNNNNNNNNNNNNNNNNNNNNNNNNNNNNNNNNNNNNNNNNNNNNNNNNNNNNNNNNNNNNNNNNNNNNNNNNNNNNNNNNNNNNNNNNNNNNNNNNNNNNNNNNNNNNNNNNNCGAAGACGAAGAGGGCAACACGGCACGAGGGCUUAUAUAAUGAUAGGAGAAACGGGGGGGAAGAAGGCACGGAGGAAUCCUAAUUUGCUCAGGGGAAGGAAAAGAGAGGCGUGUGGAAUCGUCGAGAUGUUGGAGAUUCACGAGCGCUAUCGAUCGAUGCUCAUCAUUCGGUCCGGCAUCGGAAUCGAUUUCGUUACCGAGUCUUCAACCGUCGACAUCAUUAGAAAUUAUAGAACCGACUUUUGGGUUAUGCAAUUGGGACUCGUGCCAUAAUCCAAUAGGGACAACGAUUUCGGUGAUGGAGUCGUGCCGAGGCACGUGGAUCGCGAUUCCGAGGAAUCAUUUGAAUUCUCACACGCUGUGUACAUCUAAUUCUUUCACAUCCCCCUUAAAAUCUCAAAUUAAAAAGAUAUGAUAUUCCAACAUGUUAAUUUCCUAUAGUAAACGGACAAAAUAUAUGAUUUUUUUUAUAAUGUUAAAAAAUAUAUAUGUAAAAUAUAUUAAUUAGCUUAUCUAAUACAUAACUUGAAAUUUUAUUAUGUGCAGCGUUCCUCCGAUGCGCACUUCAUCCCGACAUGGCUCGAGAUUUGUACGUCCUGCCCUCGGAGGUGCUGCUCAACAAGUCCGUCCAAUCCUUAAUCUGGGUAAGUACUUCUCCUCUUUUCUUGUUUGGGUUUGUUCAUCUGACGCCGCCCUUUCUAACCCGUCUUUCCUUUUGCAGGGUCUCCAUUAUGCGACGGCCCUGAUGGACAGGGUGCGUGACGUCGGCCGGGUUAUCGGAGGCCUCGUCAACCGCAACGCCGAGCUCCACCGCCAGGUCGAGGAGGUCCGAGCCGGGGCCGGCCCGGAGGCUGUGGCGGCCGUUGAGAAGCGCGUGGCGGAGUCUGAGGCGGAGGCGGCUCGCCUCAGGUCGGAGCUCGAGGCCGCCAAGAAAGCAAACGAGGAGCUCCAGAAAACAAUAAGGGUGGAGCGGACCGAGCUCCUUCUGUUGAAGACGGAGGUGAAAGCCCUCAGCAAGAAGCUGGAGGAGGCGAAGGCCGAGACGAGAGCGGCCUCGGAGGCAUUGGCGGAGGAAGCCCGUCUUCGACCCGCCAAAGAUUAGGAGCUCCUUGAGGCGUAUAAGAAGUCCGAGGGGUUCGAACUCGGGCUAACGCGGACGGGGCGGGUAUCCUUUGAGUACGGAUACCGAGUCGCCAUGUCCCAUUUCCAUGCUCGUCACCCCGGCCUCGAGGUGGAGGAGGACCCCUUCGCUCCUCACCCCGAGGAUCUAGGGGUAGACAUGCCCGAGGACGUCCCCUUUGACGACCGCCUGGUUGUCCCAUAGUAAUAAUAAGGAAGGGUCCUAUAUUUUAAGGUGCUAGUUAAUUUUGUAAGUCGGGAUCGAGUCUUGUAAGUCGGGGUCGAGUCCUGUACUCUUAGUUUUGAAAUAUAAAGCAAAUUUUUCUUCUCGUGUGUUGCUUGUCUACUUCUUCUUCCUUUAGGCGAAAAAGACUUCCUCUUCCCUUGGGCGAAAAAGCUCCUUCCUUAGAUGAAGAACUUCCUCUUCCCUUAGGCGAAAAGUUUCUUUAUUUAAGCGAAGAACUUCCUAAGGUUCUGGACGUUUCAUGUUCUCGGCAAGGGAGAACCGUCCAUUGUCGCGAGCCGGUAUGUACCCGGUCAGACUAUUUUGUCGACCCGAUAAGGUCCCUCCCAUUUGGGGGCCAUCUUCCCCCUCGCGCAGGUCGGGUCGCUGACCUCGGUAUUACGUAGGACUAGGUCGUCUAACUUAAUCGGUCGGGGCCGUACCUUCCGGUUGUAGACCCGAGCGACAGCUCUUUUGUAAGAGAGGGCCUUCAGGUGCGCGUUGGCACGCCGCUCCUCGAGCAAGUCGAGGCCGGCUCGAAGUCCUUCGUUCAUGAUUUUCUCGUCGUAGUUUCUCAUCCGAAGGGUGGCGAUGGCUACCUCGGGUGGUAGGACGGCCUCGAUUCCGAACGCGAGGCUGUAGGGGGACUCUCCAGUCGCUAUCUUGGGGGUGGUGCGUAACGACCAUAAGACGCUCGGGAGUUUGUCCGUCCAGGCUAAUCGGGCUGCGGACACUCUUCUUUUGAGCCCGUCUAGAAUGGAUCGAUUGGUUACUUCCGCUAGCCCGUUCGUCUGAGGGUGAGCCACCGAGCUGAACCUCAGUUGGAUUCCAUGGCUUGCGCAGAACUCCCGGAACCUUCUACCGGCGAACUGAGGCCCGUUGUCCGUAAUGAUGGUUUUGGGCAAGCCAAACCGGGUCACCAAGUUCCUCCACACGAACUUCUCCAUUUGCCGCUCCGUGAUCGUGGCCAGUGGUUCGGCCUCGACCCACUUUGUGAAAUAAUCCACUCCCACGACGAUGUACUUCCGCUGUCCCGAGGCUAGUGGGAAAGGCCCGAGCAGGUCCAGACCCCACUGCGCAAAUGGCCAUGCGCAAUCGAUGGGGGUGAGCGGGAUCGCGGGCUGCCAGGGUGUGCGGGCAUGUUCUUGGCACGAACUGCACCGCUGCACAUAAGCCUUCGUGUCGCGGCACAUGGUCGGCCAGUAGUAACCUUGGCGAAGUAUUUUGUGUGCUAGGGUUCGCCCGCCGAUGUGUUCCCCGUAGACCCUCCCAUGGACUUCAGCCAGAACCGUCUGAGCUUCAUCGGGCUCCAAGCACCGUAGGAGGGGGUAUGUGAAGGGCCGCUUAUAGAGUUGUCCACUCACCUCGGAGUACCAUGCAUGCGUGCGACACAGGCGCCGAGCCACAGCCUCGUCGGGAGGAAGGGUCCCAUCCCGCUUGAAGCAUAGUAACUCCUGCACCCACGUGAUUGGAGCGCCGCCGGAGACCGCGGCUACGAUUUCGAUGGCACGGGCAGGGAGCUCGUCGAUCUCGGGCCGGACUCCGGGUGCUGGCUUCGAAGCCAGUUUAGCUAGCGCGUCUGCUCGCUCGUUUUCUCCCCUCGGAACAUUGGAUAAUGCAAAGUGAGAGAACUUGGUGGUCAGGUUCUUUACCUACGCCAGGUACUUGGCCAUGACUGGGUCCCGAGCCUCGUAUCCACCGCUGAGUUGUUCGGCUACCAGCUGCGAGUCGGUGAGGACGUGUAAGGCAUCCACUUGCAUUUCGAGGGCCAACCUGAGUCCGGCUAGGAGUGCCUCAUAUUCCGUCUCGUUGUUGGUGGCUUGAAACCCGAAGCGGAGGGAGCGCUCGAAUGAUCGUCCGUCGGGAGACCGCAGCACUAGCCCUGCACCGACGCCCUUUGAGUUGGCCGACCCGUCCACGUGCAAGACCCAUGGUUCAGGAGGUUGCUCCAGAUCCGUGUCCUCGGUCUGGGUUAAUUCUGCGAUGAAGUCAACCACGGAUUGGGCUUUGAUGGUAGUUUUGGGCACGUAUCAUACGUCAUGCUCGCCGAGCUCCACCGCCCAUUUGAGAAGACGUCCCGCAACAUCAAAUUUAGACAAGACAUGUCGAAGUGGUUGGUUGGUGAUGACCUCCACUGGGUGAGCUUGGAUGUAGGGGCGUAGCUUCCGGGCUGAUAGCACAAGCGCCAGUGCUAGUUUCUCAAUCGGUGGGUAUCGUUCCUCCGGCCCGUUUAGGACAUGGCUGACAUAGUAGACCGGUAGCUGCUCGCCGGAGUUUUCUUUGAUCAGAAUAGAACUGACUGCGUGCUGGGAGGCAGCCAAGUAGAGGCCGAUCUUUUCCCCGGGAGAGACAGAGGCAAGUCGGGGGAGGCUGGCCAAGUGUUGCUUCAUUUGCUUGAAGGCUUCCUCGUACUCCGCCGUCCAUUGAAAAUUCUUCGGGUUCUUCAGCGCCCUGAAGAAGGGGAGGCAGCGAUCGCCCGAUCGGGCAAGGAAGCGUGACAUGGCAACGAGUCUCCCGUUAAGGCGCUGCAGGUCUUUGAUCGUCCGAGGCGACUGCAUGUUGACAAUUGCCUGGACCUUCUCUGGGUUGGCAUCGAUCCCUCUUUCGUGUAUGAUGAACCCGAGGAAUUUUCCCGAGGUGACGCCGAAAGCGCACUUCGCGGGGUUAAGACGCAUGCCGAACCUGCGUAGCGUGGCGAAUGUCUCGACCAGGUCGGUAAGAUGAGUUCUUGCCUCUUGGCUUUUCACGAUCAAGUCAUCGACGUAAACUUCCAUGUUUCGCCCGAUCUGGUGGGCGAACAUCUUGUUCACUGUUCUUUGGUACGUAGCCCCGACGUUCUUCAAUCCGAAAGGCAUGACUUUAUAAAAGUAUACCCCUUGAUCGGUGAGGAAGGCCGUGUGCUCUUGGUCUUCGGGCGCUAUUCUGAUCUGGUUGUAUCCUGAGAAGGCAUCCAUAAAUGAGAGGCGGGCGUGUCCGGCUGUGGCAUCUACCAACUGGUCGAUCUUUGGGAGGGGGUAGCAACCUUUAGGGCAUGCAUUGUUGAGGCUGGUGUAGUCAACGCACAUCCUCCAGUUUCUAUUAUGUUUCCUUACGAGGUCUACAUUGGAUAGCCAUCGCGGGUAUCUGGCUUCUUCUAUGAAGCUGACCGCUAAAAGUUGGUCCACUUCUUCUCGUAUGGCGAGUUGCCGAUCAGGGGCUUGGCGCCUGGGCUUUUGCUUUACCGGGCGAGCAUCGGGUGAGAUGCUGAGGCGAUGUUGCGCGACCUCUGGGUCGACGCCCGUCAUGUCAGAUGGCGACUAGGCGAAGACGUCGGCAUUUUCCUGUAGGAGACCGACGAGCUACUUUCGUUCCUGCUCGGGUAACUCCAACCCGAUUUUGACCGUCUGAUCCGGACGCUCUUCUAGCAAUGGCAAGUCGACGGUGGAUUCCCUUGGCUCGGGAUGGGGGGUCGGUCUCUUCAUCUCCCGAGGAUCCUCCAGCGGUGGUUCGAUCCUCGCCCUCUUGUUUAACGAGACGACGGUCAAGUAGCAACGCCUGGAUUCUCGGGGGCUUCCCGUGACUUCCCCGACCCCGGCAUGAGUCGGGAAUUUGAUAGUUGUUAUGAUCAAGAGCACUAAGAGGGGGGGUGAAUUAGUGCAGCGGAAAACCUUCUGCGAUUAAAAUCGAAAACUACGUUCGUUCGAUAGAAGUGAUUUUGGUAAGAAAGCUGAUUCGUAAAUCACUUCAACUUUUGACUAGGAGAGAUGCAGCAAAGAUAUGAACGCAGUUUGCAGUUAUGAUGGAAAUCAGAAUAUAAGCGCAAACUGAAAUACGACGUUCGUACGAUAAAAGCGAUUUCGGUAUAAAAGCUGAUUCGUAAACUACUUUAACUUGAGAUACGACGAGAUGCAGUUAAAGCAAAGAUAUAAAGGCAGUUUGCAGUUAUAAUGGAAAUCAGAACGUAAGCGCAAACUGAAAUACGACGUUCGUUCGAUAAAACUCACUUCAACUUUUGACUAGGAGAGAUGCAGCAAAGAUAUGAACACAGUUUGCAGUUAUGAUGGAAAUCAGAAUAUAAGCGCAAACUGAAAUACGACGUUCGUACGAUAAAAGCGAUUUCGGUAUAAAAGCUGAUUCGUAAACUACUUUAACUUGAAAUACGACGAGAUGCAGUUAAAGCAAAGAUAUAAAGGCAGUUUGCAGAUAUAAUGGAAAUCAGAACGUAAGCGCAAACUGAAAUACGACGUUCGUUCGAUAAAACUGAUUUGCGUCUUAAACCCCGAUUCGGAAAGCACUGAACUUUGAAACACGUUCGUAAAAACACAGAAGGCAGUAAGCUAUUGAGGAGGUUUGCAGUAAAGAUAAGAUGCUCAAAGUAAAUGCAAACUGAGAUUUAGAGUGGUUCGGUCAAUCUUGACCUACUCCACUUUUGGCUUCCUCCACCGAUGAGGUCACCAACGUCAACUAGAGGCCUUCCUUCAAUAGGCGAAGGCCAACCACCCUUUUACAGUUUCACUCCUUUUGACGGGCUUAGGAGACAACCCUUACAGAAUUUUCUCUCCUCUCUUUACAACUCAAAACUUAGAAAAAAAGAGAGAGAAGAACUUUUGGCCUUUACAACAAUUUUGAGCUCUAAGAAUCACAGAAAAAAAUCAAGAUUUCGGUGUAAGUUCAUGCUCUUUCAGUGCUGAAUGGGUAGGGUAUUUAUAGGCCCCAACCCAGUUCAAAUUUGGAGCUCAAAACUGUCAAUUCCUGGAAUUCCGGGAUCAGGCGGUUGCACCUCUUGACUGGAGCGGUUGCAUCGCCUGGCAGAGCUCAAAGACUGAGCCUCUGGGCGGUGCUACCUCCUGUCAGGGGUGGUUGCACCUCCUGCCAGAGCUCGAAGACCGAGCUCAGGCGGUUUCACCUCCUAACUGAGGCGAUUGCAUCGCUUGGCAGAGCUCGAAGACCGAGCUCAAGCGGUGCCACCUCCUGUCAGGGGAGGUUGCACCGCCCCGUCUCGCUCGGAGACUGAGCCCAGGCGAUGCAACCUCCUGCCUUGGGCGGUUCAACCGCUUGACAGAAAUCAAGGUCCGAAUGGGUUGAUCCAUUCGGCCCAAUUCGGGUUUUUUAGGGGCCCAAUUGCCCCAAGAUUAAGUUAAUGGGAUCACCUCCCAUUUCCAACUUAAUCAUUGUGCUAACUACGAUAUUCCCUAAGACAUUUACUGCAACUUGCUCCGGUGCGUCAAUCGCUUCUUCCGGCGAGCUUCCAGCGAACUUCCGUCGAUCAUCCGAUGAACCCUCGGUGAUGCUCCUGCGGACUUCCUGUAACACCCCUCAUUUCCGAAUGUUCGUAUAAAUUUUUGGUGAUAAUGUAAGCAUCUAUUUUAAUUGAUAAAAGAAAUAGAGUAUGAAUCAGAGGUAACUUAUUUUUAAGAUUUGGGAGAUCUGUUAAAAAAAAAAAAAAAGAAUCUGAGGACCUAUAUGUAAACCCUAAGGACCUAAUCGUGAAUAUGAUAAAAAUAAGGACUAAACUGCAAAAUGCACCAAAUGACAAAUUCCACCGCUUAAGCCUCUCUGCCUUCGUUGUUAAGGAAGCAGAGGAGGCAGCUCGUGGGUGAUCAGGGAAAGAAAAGAAGAAGAAGAAGAAGAAGAAGAAGAAGAAGAAGGAGAAGANN